rnacentral:lncRNA from 1 species
AGUCCACCGGGCGGUUGCGCUGGUAGAGGUAGUGUUCUGGGGCUUUCUUGUUCCUCUCAUCAAACUUAAGCUCCUGGAUCACGUUGGGAUGUUUCAGAAGCCGGAGCAGGAUCUUCUCCGAAAGAUUUGUGAUGACCAGCAGUGGACCUAAGAAAGACCAUGGAAAGCAGAGGAGAGGACACCGUUUGUGCUCCUAUGUGGUGAAGGAAAUCAUGAACAGAGGCAUGGUUUUGGCCACAGAUGGCAGGAGGGGAAUCUGAAAGCAAAUAAAGGCCAAGCUGAGCCCUGCAAGGUUCACCUCUGUUAUCAGAUGUUUCAUUGGCUCUCAGGGAUGGCUGAAGAGUGCUUACCACUCAGACUGGCACAAGCCUGGAGUAACAGGGCUCUCACAGCCUGAUGCAUCUGUUUUCAUUUUUCUCCGCAAAUGUUGACCUUCAACCUGUAGUAUUUCUCUUCCAGUGGGUCGAUGCUGUGCAUGGAAGAGUGGUGUACAUUUGCCUACUCCCCUCUUCUGCUUCCUCAUGAGAUUCCAUGAAUUUGGACUGUGAUCUCCUCUGCUGGGCCACCCCUGUACUGACUAGGAACUAGCAAAUGACUUCCUAUCACGACAAACCCAUUCCUUUCAGUUUGUCCCUAAUUUUGUAGAAAAGUGGGCAAUAUGUCAGACAAUUUAGGUUAAAAUACAAUUAUAUAG